rnacentral:lncRNA from 1 species
GUACAAAUAAAAAUGACGUUUAUGUACAUACGGGAUAUAAGAAGAAAAAAAAAAAAAACAAAAAAAGAAAGCAGAUUGAUUAUUUUUGUAUGUGCUGAUAGAUGGCAGCACUGUACAGUACAAGUACCGUCCAAUCAGGUUGACCAAUUUUACAAAAACAUAUCCGACGAUACUGCGCACACCUGAUGAACACGUUGUCCGAAGCGAGCCAUGGAAAAUGUAUACUUAUCUUGUUGAUUGUUUUUAUAUAUAUAUUAUAUAAAUAUAUAUAUAUUAAUAAAAAUUCUUUCAUUAUGUAUAUAUACACGGUAUUGGUUCAUUUUUCGGUUCAGCGAUUCGUCUCGUUUCAUCGGACGUUUCCCAUCCAAUUAAAAACUCGCUUACAAAAAUAGUAAUACUAAUUUUCUGAGAUCGAAAACAGGAAUUGGAAGUAACAAAUGUGGGAAAAUAAUAUCGUUAAGGAAUAAAUAAGUAUUAAACGGUCAAGAGCGCACCGGAUAAAGACGGUUAAGUAUUUAAUUAACAGUGACGAUGCAGAAUUAAAAACUCCAUUAAACAAGCGCCAUAAUUAUUUUUAUUCAUAAUAGAUGGCAGCACUUCUAUAAAUCGAUAACGUGAUGAGCCGGAAUGUUUAUUAAUCCGGGAAAAUUUUAAUAUUUAGCCAUCCUUCUCGUUUAAAAUUUGUGAUGAACGAAUUAUUAUUAUUAUUAUUUUUUUUUUUUUUUAGUGCUUAGAUAUCGUUAUGCAGAUCAUAUCAAUCGAUUGACUUAACGAUCUUCCGUUGUGUGGUUAUGAUUAAAGAGUCAUCGAUGCUCGACCGAUCGGGAUCGUCUUUCCGCUUGGCUGAACGUUGGAAAUGAAUGACACUGCAUAAUCCUCGCCAGUUAUUACCUGUAAUUUUAGCCGUCUUUCCACCAUAACCCAUUGAAUGGAAUUUAAAACCUCUUUAAACAAGGAUUUAAAUAUUAAAUUUUUUUUUUUUUUUUAAGUUACGCUCGGGAUCGGGAUGAUCGAGCGAAUUGUGCACGAAGAGUUUGUUUGUAUAUAUGUGAAUGUCGUGCGCUUAUUUAGAUCAUUUAAGACGUCAAACACAUUCUUGUGGUUUCCCAGAAUCCAAAAGAAUGCAUUAUAUCGAUGUUAUUAAGCUUUAACGUUCUAAUCAAUAUUUUAUGGCGUCUGCAUUUUUAUAGCGUCAUAUUUUCUCAAAAUUGUUUAAUAUAUUAUACUUGAGGCAAUCUUGUAUAUAA